rnacentral:rRNA from 1 species
UUAAAGGAAGUUGACGGGGCCCCGCACAAGCAGCGGAGCGUGUGGUUUAAUUCGAUGUUACACGAAGAACCUUACCUGGGAUUGACAUGGAGGUGGUAGGGAAGCGGAAGCGGACCGACUCUUCGGAGAGCCUUCACAGGUGCUGCAUGGCUGUCGUCAGCUCGUGCCGUGAGGUGUCGGGUUAAGUCCCGUAACGAGCGCAACCCUUGCCCUUAGUUACAAGUGUCUAGGGGGACUGCCGGCGGGAAGCCGGAGGAAGGUGGGAUGACGUCAAGUCAGCAUGGCCCUUAUAUCCAGGGCUACACACACGCUACAAUGGUCGGUACAAAGGGCAGCGAAGCCGCGAGGUGGAGCGAAUCCCAGCAAAGCCGACCGUAGUACGGAUAGCAGGCUGCAACUCGCCUGCUUGAAGCUGGAGUUGCUAGUAACCGCGCGUCAGCAUAGUGCGGUGAAUACGUUCCCGGGGCUU